CCUGCCCUUUAUAUUUUAAUGAUGUAAGACCAGACAUCUGUUAUCGUGUUACAUUAGCAUUCCUCACAUAUCAAUGAGAUGCUGUACAGUACAAUCCUACUGACACAGCAGAGGGAUAACGACGGCUAUUCAACAUUGUUGCACGACACAUUCGAGCUGCAUGAUGCAGACAAAGUGACUAAAUCAUCUUUUUUGUGGUUUAUUGUCUUCAAACCAGCAGACAAAGCCAAUGGCAGAAGAUGUUUGGAGAAGAACUUCAGGCCGUGGACUGAAAAGAUCAAAGCAGCUCGUGCUCUGUCUGCUUCCAUUCUGAUGGCAAGAAGAAGAAGGAGACUUCAGCGAAGUGGCGUUCAUGGUCUCAGUGGACAGUCAUGGUCACACACUGCAUGUGGUUUUAAAAGCAACAUGUCUGUUCACCACAACGAUCGAGAUGUGUAAUAUUAGUGCAGCUACGGUUUGUUCUUGAACAUCAGUUCUGUUUUCUACUUUGACCACUUAGACCAAAAAAAGUGUUGUUUUCAGAUUCUUUCUUUUUAAAUCUAUAAAGCACCUGUUCAUUUUUUAUUACAAUUAGUUUCACAUAAAUGUUAGUGUUUCCUUUAUGAUCUUUUAAUGCUUACACUACACUGUACACGUCUACAUUAGAGACAUUUCUGUUACCUAUGUAUGAGACUGGGCUGCUUGACUACAAUUUGGAAAUGGAUGCAAAAUCACAGGGAUCGUGCUAUUGUUUGUUUUUUAAUAUGAUGGACUGAACACAGGACGUGUCUGACUAAGCAAACAUUAGUCCGAUCCCAUUUCUACCUGUCUCUACUGUUUCAACUGUAACUGUCAGGAUAUAUAUUUAUUCCAGCUCUCAUAGGGCAAAGGAAUGACUCAGACUUGUCAAAUGUUCUUUGACUUGAUAAACAAUUUGAAGUUCACAAUUUUCUUACAAAUAAAACUAUAAUGACAAACAUGAACAGCUGUGCUUAUUUCUGAGACAUGAUUUUUUUUGAAUAUGUUCAUAUUUAGACAUUUGUAUGCUGAAACUGUAAUGGUGAACCUGAGGUGAUGGUCAACAGAAGGCAAAUAUAUAUAAAUAUAAAACAAUACUGAAGUAAUGUCUUUACCCUCUGCAGCGUGUGGACGCUGUGCACACAAUCACCUUAAUCACUGUAGUAAACGUGCACCGCUAGCUCACGUCACUGACUGUCUCCAUGGUUACAUCGUAUAUUAUUAGCUAUGUAAACAGCUUCCAAAGAUACCGCCAUAGCUCUCUGCAGCUGUAACACUUUCACACUUUACAAAUAAUUUCACGUUUUUGAUAGUUAUGAAUAAAGAAUGUGUUUUAAAGACAUGCUAGGCUGUUGCUUGGUGGUUGCUGUGGACUAGGGUGGACCGCGCGUCCGAUUCCUGUUGUUAGCUGUCCGCCGUAGGAAGUGUAACGCUUCCGUUCUUCACAAAUCACAGACGCUCAGUAGGGUUGGCUGUUCACGGUUUAUUCUGCACAGUGCAAACGUGCCUGCAGAAGACAUAAAACACAUUCAACAGGUGUCUUCUGAUGGUACCACAAUUGCAGCUCCCUCACAGUGCAAACGCGCGCUGUCUAAACAGACUUACAAUUAACUUCUUAAUAAAGAAAAGAUGGAAAAUAAUCAUUUCUUAAAUUUUACAGUCUGUCACACUGAACUUGUAUACAAAAAGAAAUCUUAUCACUUAUAAAAAUACAUUUCACAACUGUAUAAAACAAAAUAACAGGAUAACAGAAGUAUCACUGGCUAAACAUUUCCCUCUAGUGGACAAAUUAACGGUAGUGCACUACAUUUUCACUUGCUUGUGCUUUACAGACAAAAUGACUAUUAACAAGCUCACGUACCUGCAGAAGACAUAAAACACAUUCAACAGGUGUCUUCUGAUGGUACCACAAUUGCAGCUCCUACAAUGUAAAACAACAUUACAAAAAGCACAGAAAAACAGUAAAUGCAAACACAUUUACUGCUAUGCGCAGCAACCACUAGAGGGCUAACAAAAGCUUACUGCCAAAGAGCAUAAAUACGGCAGAAACACUGUUUAACAGCAACCAUCCUUUGUUUCGGUUACACAGAAACAUUCUAACAUCAAUAUAAACCUAUAUACAUCGACAUGUACAACUUAUGUCACAACAUUCACACCAGAAACCAUAAAAAUGUAAGAGCCUUUCAUUACAGAACUUACCCUCACAGUGCAAACGCGCGCUGUGAGGAGCGGAAGCCUUAGCAGCUUCUACACGCUAGAGUGAGAUCCGGUUUCUGGGUUUUCAAAAUAAAAUACAACAAAAAUGAUAAAAUUCACACUUAAAAUAAUAAUUAAGACCAGGUAAGUGCAUGUUUUUCAGAUGUCUUUUUAACUCCGUUACAGAAGGCUGCGUUCCGUUUAGAAGUAGUGCCAGUCUGCCGUAACUCGAACUCAAACCCCGCUUUGUUCUGUAAUUAAAGGGCUUUUAUAGCCGUUCAUGACACGCACGCACACACACAUAAAACACUUUGCCUCACUAUGACAAUGCAACUUUACUAAAACCUUUAAAGUAUCUGAGAUAGGAUAGAAAAAUGAAGCAACCAGAGAUUUAAUGAUGAAGACUCUGGGUUCUGUAGUUCACGUUUUACAGUCCUGAAUGACUCUUUGCAUAUAAUUUAUUGAAGAGGAGUUUAGAAUGCACUUUACAUUUAGACUGUUGCUGUUUAAUUUUUUACAUUGUUACUGUGUUAUGUCAUGAUAAGGUUCACCUGCUGGGGGUUUGAUGGAUCAGCUGGACAAUACAGUCAAAGACAGACUUCAUCCAUCAUAUGCAAGAAUCCUAGUUGGAUUUUUGUUUUCACUCAUAUUUUUGAACCAAAUAUUGAAAACAACUGUGACAGACUGGAUACCUGGUCAGGGUGUACAUUACCUUUCACUCAAGCAUCCCAGGACAGAGCCCUGCCCCACCAUGAGCCUGGGUGGAUACGUGGUUAUAAUAUAAAAUGACUGAUACUGAAUUUGAAUAUUUCAUGAAAAUCAAAUUAUAAUAUGAAUUCCUAGGUGUUUGUUAUAUCCAGCAAGAAAUUGAUUACAUAUGUCUGAAUUGCUAACCCUAACCCUAGCUCAACAGACCACAAUGCCCUGGACUGUCACUAUUAUUACAUGCUGUGAACAUAAGUAGCUUUGAUCACA
ensembl:lncRNA